GACGAACGCUGGCGGCGUGCCUAACACAUGCAAGUCGAACGAAGUGGCGAACGGGUGAGUAAUACGUGGGUAACCUGCCCUCCCUUUUGGGCUAAGCCUUGGAAACGGGGCCUAAUACCGAAUCCCGGGGGAUGGGCUCGCGGCCUAUCCGCUUGUUGGUGGGGUGAUGGCCUACCAAGGCGGUGACUGGUAGCCGAGCUGAGAGGGUGACUGGGACCAUUGGGAAGGUGAUACGUACCAGAGUAGUACGGGGGGGAGAAGUGGGGGAUAUGGGAGAAUGGGCGAAAGACUGAUGCAGCGACGCCGAGUAGGGGAUGAGGGCUGUAGGGUUGUAAACGUCUUUCGCAAUCGAACGGGUAGGUGGAGAAGAAGCGCCGGCUAACUACGUGCCAGCAGCCGCGGUAAUUC
rnacentral:rRNA from 1 species